AGAGUUUGAUCCUGGCUCAGAUUGAACGCUGGCGGCAGGCCUAACACAUGCAAGUCGAACGGUAACAGGAAGAAGCUUGCUUCUUUGCUGACGAGUGGCGGACGGGUGAGUAAUGUCUGGGAAACUGCCUGAUGGAGGGGGAUAACUACUGGAAACGGUAGCUAAUACCGCAUAACGUCGCAAGACCAAAGAGGGGGACCUUCGGGCCUCUUGCCAUCGGAUGUGCCCAGAUGGGAUUAGCUAGUAGGUGGGGUAACGGCUCACCUAGGCGACGAUCCCUAGCUGGUCUGAGAGGAUGACCAGCCACACUGGAACUGAGACACGGUCCAGACUCCUACGGGAGGCAGCAGUGGGGAAUAUUGCACAAUGGGCGCAAGCCCUGAUGCAGCCAUGCCGCGUGUAUGAAGAAGGCCUUCGGGUUGUAAAGUACUUUCAGCGGGGAGGAAGGGAGUAAAGUUAAUACCUUUGCUCAUUGACGUUACCCGCAGAAGAAGCACCGGCUAACUCCGUGCCAGCAGCCGCGGUAAUACGGAGGGUGCAAGCGUUAAUCGGAAUUACUGGGCGUAAAGCGCACGCAGGCGGUUUGUUAAGUCAGAUGUGAAAUCCCCGGGCUCAACCUGGGAACUGCAUCUGAUACUGGCAAGCUUGAGUCUCGUAGAGGGGGGUAGAAUUCCAGGUGUAGCGGUGAAAUGCGUAGAGAUCUGGAGGAAUACCGGUGGCGAAGGCGGCCCCCUGGACGAAGACUGACGCUCAGGUGCGAAAGCGUGGGGAGCAAACAGGAUUCGAUACCCUGGUAGUCCACGCCGUA
rnacentral:rRNA from 1 species